rnacentral:rRNA from 1 species
UACGUAGGGUGCAAGCGUUAAUCGGAAUUACUGGGCGUCAAGCGUGCGCAGGCGGUUUUGUAAGUCUGACGUGAAAGCCCCGGGCUCAACCUGGGAAUUGCGUUGGAGACUGCAAGGCUUGAAUCUGGCAGAGGGGGGUAGAAUUCCACGUGUAGCAGUGAGAUGCGUAGAGAUGUGGAGGAACACCGAUGGCGAAGGCAGCCCCCUGGGUCAAGAUUGACGCUCAUGCACGAAAGCGUGGGGAGCAAACAGG